GACGAACGCUGGCGGCGUGCUUAACACAUGCAAGUCGAACGGAAAGGCCUGCUUUCCCUUGUGGGUUGCGGGUACUCGAGUGGCGAACGGGUGAGUAACACGUGAGUGAUCUGCCCCCAACUUGGGUAUAAGCCUGGGAAACUGGGUCUAAUUCCCGAUAGGACUGCAGGGUGGUGCCUGUGGUGGAAAACGAUGUUCUAGUGGUUGGGGAUGAGCUCGCGGCCUAUCAGCUUGUUGGUGGGGUAAUGGCCUACCAUGGCGGCGACGGGGAGCCGGCCUGAGAGGGUGGACGGCCACAUUGGGACGGCGAUACGGCCCUGACUCCUACGGGAGGCAGCAGUGGGGAGUAUUGCACGGGGAGCGGAAGCCUGAGGCAGCGACGCGGCGUGGGGGAUGCCGGCCUUCGGUGUGUAACCUCCUGUCGACAGCGAGGAAGCCACCUGGUUGGACGGGUGGUGACGGUAGUGGUAGAAGAAGCACCGGCUAACUACGUG
rnacentral:rRNA from 1 species